CAAUAGCGUAUAUUAAAGUUGUUGCAGUUAAAAGCUCGUAGUUGGAUCUGGGGCUUAGGCUGGUGGUCCAUCUCGCGAUGGUUACUGCCUGUCCUGGCCUUUACCUCCCGGUCUAUCUUUGUUGCUCUUGACUGAGUGACUCGGGUUGCCGGAACGUUUACUUUGAAAAAUUAGAGUGUUCAAAGCAGGCUUUUUGCCUGAAUAAUGGUGCAUGGAAUAAUGGAAUAGGACCUCGGUUCUAUUUUGUUGGUUUUCGGAACAUGAGGAAAUGAUUAAGAGGAACAGACGGGGGCAUUCGUACUGCUGCGUUAGAGGUGAAAUUCUUGGAUCGUAGCAAGACGAACAACAGCGAAAGCAUUUGCCAAGAAUGUUUUCAUUAAUCAAGAACGAAAGUCAGAGGUUCGAAGACGAUCAGAUACCAU
rnacentral:rRNA from 1 species